rnacentral:lncRNA from 1 species
CUAACUAAAAAUAAAAUUUAAUCUUCUUGGCAGAUUCACUUUUCUAUAUACUAAUUUCCGAUGUAGUUUGAAAAAAAAGCAAAAGACUCGGAUAUGAUCAUAGGACUACAACAUGAAGUUUGACGAGUGUCCCAUAUCCCAUCAUUGUUCUCUCAGUUUUCACGACAUGAUUCUCCGUGAUAAUCUCAGAUAUACCUAGGAAGAUCAAAUUACAGAAAAAAAAACCUUGGAAUGGUUCUUUUGAUUUACCUUCGGUUCUUAUUAACGAUAUAGUUAUCUAUAUUAUCACUUCGAAGUGGUGUUCCUGGAACAUUAAAUUGAUUAUAAAUACACUAGAUAUUAAUUCUGUGCAUAUCCAUGUCCCACCCACAAUGCAAAGCAAGACUGCACAUAUACGUUAACGAAUACGCUAGCAAGAUUAGUACGCACAAUCACGCACACACAGGAGGUGCACACAGUAAGAGUCGGGAAGGGGUGGCCACUCGCCUAUGCCACGCCAAAGAUUUUACUGUCGCAGGCAACACCUUCCCAUGGUACGUACUCUGCGAUGAACCGGGUGAACCGGGUGAUGGGAGCUUGCGAAGUCAAUGAUAUAUUUUGGAUCUUGCUGCUUGAUUUUGGCAUCUAUGUUGCAGACCAGAGACCACGUAUUACAGGUACUAUUUCAAUCUCUUGGUUAUUUCAGAUUGCACAUAUAAACCGGGUGAUGGAAGAUGUACUGUACUAAGCGGUUGAAUUGUCGUGUUGACUGGGGACUAUGUCGUUGUCGAAGUCUGUAAUCCAGUUAGACGGUCUUCACUUCUGUAAAGUUCAUCAACCAGAGUCUACUCUUAGAUAUUUUGUUUAAGUAAAAUUUGCUCAAAGUGAUUUAGGAUAUUGGGCCUCUAAAAGAAAAGUAAGAAUCUAAAUUCCUAAGUAAUUAUAACAACUCAAGUGUGAUCUUCUUGUUGCUUAAUUUUCCAGUUAAGAUAUCUUUUUGAUAUAGAUUGCCAGGUUCCGUUCUCGCAUAAAACUCCCAAUCCUAUGAUCAUCAUAUGUCUCCUGUAUGAUGUUUUUGCUGGAAGGUCUGCUUACUUUUAUGUACAUCUCUUUUCUAAAAAUGUCACUGAUAGUUUGUUUUGCCGAACAUAUUAGGUUGACUGGAUUCCAUCUCAAUUCCUGUAUAUCUCUCUAAAAAGGUCACUGGCAAGGUGGUGUGGAGUGAGAAGACAUAGAGAUGGAUGAGGAUGACGGAAGGAAGCAGUAGCAGCUCGAUCCAGGAACCAACAGCUGGCUCGCUCCUAGGUCUUCAACCCGCUCCCCCCCUCCUUUCAGUCUACCGCAUGCAGCAGGUGGGUAUACUCAGCUUCGUUGCUCCCACUCAUCUUCCUCCCUCCCUCUCUUUCUUAUAUAGGUUCCCAUCUAAUGGCAGCUCUCUCUCCCUUUUCCAUCUCUGUUUGGUAGAUGGUGGAGCAACCAAGCAUACAUACACAUUGAAAUUGAUUCUAUUGUAAGCUGAUUCUACAUCCAAGAGAUCAAGAGAUCCUAAUGUUAUAGCAUACGUCCAUAUUGAUGUACAUGAGAGACUAAGAAUUAAACAUGGCAGAGGAAUGUGCCGAGACAAGAUAAGUGCGCACAAGCCCGCCUUAGGAGGUGCCACCAGGUGGCGCCCCAGCCUCUAGUAACACAUGAAAGCCAACGUUGAAAGAAUACUUUGUGGAACCACGUUCAAAAGUUCUGAAAAAAAUCAAAGAAAAAUAUGG